AGUGAACGCUGGCGGCGUGCCUAAUACAUGCAAGUCGAACGAGGAAGUCCUAGCUUGCUAGGCUGGAUUAGUGGCGCACGGGUGAGUAAUAUAUAGUUACUCUGCCCUACACAGAGGAACAACAGUUGGAAACGGCUGCUAAUACCUCAUACUCCUAUUUGACAUAGGUUAAAUAGGGAAAGUCUUUUCGGUGUAGGAUGAGACUAUAUCGUAUCAGCUAGUUGGUAAGGUAAUGGCUUACCAAGGCUAUGACGCGUAACUGGUCUGAGAGGAUGAUCAGUCAAAUUGGAAAUGAGACACGGGCCAAACUCCUACGGGAGGCCGCAGUAAGGAAUAUUGCGCAAUGGGGGAAACCCUGACGCAGCAACGCCGCGUGGAGGAUGACACUUUUCGGAGCGUAAACUCCUUUUAUCAGGAAAGAAUAAUGACGGUACCUGAUGAAUAAGCACCGGCUAACUCCGUG
rnacentral:rRNA from 1 species